CGCUGUUGCCGUACAGACGGCGUCGCUUUCCGGCGGCUGUUGCCGUGGCAGUGGGCGGGCGGAGCGGCGCCGCUUUACGUCACGGCGGCGCUUUACGUCACGGCGCCGGGAGGGGCCGCUCGCUGCGCCCCGCGGAACGCGAGGGAGUCCUCGUUGGGGCGCUAACUACCAGCCUCCAGCUGUGGUGCCAGGUGGUGAUCCCGCGCAGGUGCAUCCAGCUGUGUGUACCUGAGCAGCACAACGGCUGUUGCCAAAGUCUGGGCUCGCCUUGACCACAUACUCUAAGUGCUUCUUUGUACGUCAGUGCACUUGGGAAGGAAUGGAGGAAGGAGGCUUUUCUGAAGCCCAGGAAGAUCUGGCUGCCCUUGAGGAGGACUGCGAAGAUGCUGGGCUAGACUGGGUAGACGCAGAGGCAGAAUAAGAGGACGAAUAAUGAAAAUACUGAAAACCAAAGUCUGGAAAAGUGCAUUCAGCAACAAAAGAACUGCAGAACUCAGUUCACCUUUUUAGGUUGUUUUCAAAUAAAGGUGGACAUGCUCUACCGUC